GACGAACGCUGGCGGCGUGCUUAACACAUGCCAGUCGAACGGAAAGGCCCUGCUUUUGUGGGGUGCUCGAGUGGCGAACGGGUGAGUAACACGUGAGUAACCUGCCCUUGUCUUUGGGAUAACUUCAGGAAACUGGGGCUAAUACCGGAUAGGAGCUCCUGCUGCAUGGUGGGGGUUGGAAAGUUUCGGCGGUUGGGGAUGGACUCGCGGCUUAGCAGCUUGUUGGUGGGGUAGUGGCUUACCAAGGCUUUGACGGGUAGCCGGCCUGAGAGGGUGACCGGCCACAUUGGGACUGAGAUACGGCCCAGACUCCUACGGGAGGCAGCAGUGGGGAAUAUUGCACAAUGGGCGGAAGCCGGAUGCAGCAACGCCGCGUGCGGGAUGACGGCCUUCGGGUUGGAAACCGCUUUCGCCUGUGACGAAGCGUGAGUGACGGUAAUGGGGAAAGAAGCACCGGCUAACUACGU
rnacentral:rRNA from 1 species